rnacentral:rRNA from 1 species
AUUGAACGCUGGCGGCAGGCCUAACACAUGCAAGUCGAGCGGAUGAAGGGAGCUUGCUCCUGGAUUCAGCGGCGGACGGGUGAGUAAUGCCUAGGAAUCUGCCUGGUAGUGGGGGAUAACGUCCGGAAACGGGCGCUAAUACCGCAUACGUCCUGAGGGAGCAAGUGGGGGAUCUUCGGACCUCACGCUCUCAGAUGAGCCUAGGUCGGAUUAGCUAGUUGGUGGGGUAAAGGCCUACCAAGGCGGCGAUCCGUAACUGGUCUGAGAGGAUGAUCAGUCACACUGGAACUGAGACACGGUCCAGACUCUUACGGGAGGCAGCAGUGGGGAAUAUUGGACAGUGGGCGAAAGCCUGAUCCAGCCAUGCCGCGUGUGUGAAGAAGGUCUUCGGAUUGUAAAGCACUUUAAGUUGGGAGGAAGGGCAGUAAGUUGAUACCUUGCUGUUUUGACGUUACCAACAGAAUAAGCACCGGCUAACUUCGUG